GCUAAGAAAGGCUGUUAAGACUGACCUUGCACUGGGCACUCUCUGCUUUUCCAGGUGGCGCUGCGGCUGGAGGACGGUGAUGAGACUGCCGAGCCGCCCCCCAGCGGGCGCAGGGACCGGAGGAGGGCCAGUGUGUGUGGCGGUGGUGGUAGUGGCGCAGGGGGUGAGUCCCGGGGCCUGGACCGCAGGCGGAGCCGAAGGCACUCGGUGCAGAGCAUCAAGAGCCCUGUGUCGGCCCCGUCCAGUCCCUGCUCCCCAUCAGCUCCAGGCUUCAAGACCAGUCAAGUGCAAGAUCUCCGUGAAAACAAUAGCAGCAGCAGCCGUGAGGCCAGCCCUGCCUCAGAGCAGAAGGAUGCUGCUCUGGAGAGCCCAGCCCUCCCCGCUGCCUCCAGCACCACUUCGCAGGGAAAGCAGCUUCCAGGUGGCUCUGCAGCUGGGACCCCCUUGUGCAGAGGGUCCUCAGGGCCAGCUCUGCGGCCCCCUCCCACCCCUGCCUCGGUCCCUCGGCCCUCCUCCACACCUGGCCCCCCGAAAGCGUCACCAACCCUAGAAAAGCUGCCCUACGUGCCCCACAGCCCGUUCCACCUCUUCUCCUAUGACUUUGAGGAUUCGCCC
rnacentral:lncRNA from 1 species